rnacentral:rRNA from 1 species
AACGAACGCUGGCGGCAUGCCUAACACAUGCAAGUCGAACGAGACCUUCGGGUCUAGUGGCGCACGGGUGCGUAACGCGUGGGAACCUUCCCUUAUGUUCGGAAUAACUCCCCGAAAGGGGUGCUAAUACCGGAUAAUGUCUUCGGACCAAAGAUUUAUCGCCUUUGGAUGGGCCCGCGUUGGAUUAGCUAGUUGGUAGGGUAAAAGCCUACCAAGGCGACGAUCCAUAGCUGGUCUGAGAGGAUGAUCAGCCACACUGGGACUGAGACACGGCCCAGACUCCUACGGGAGGCAGCAGUGGGGAAUAUUGGACAAUGGGCGAAAGCAUGAUCCAGCAAUGCCGCGUGAGUGAUGAAGGCAUUAGGGUUGUAAAGCUCUUUUACCCGGGAUGAUAAUGACAGUACCGGGAGAAUAAGCUCCGGCUAACUCCGUG